rnacentral:rRNA from 1 species
CUGGCUCAGGACGAACGCUGGCGGCGUGCUUAACACAUGCAAGUCGAACGGAAAGGCCCGCUUGCGGGUACUCGAGUGGCGAACGGGUGAGUAACACGUGGGCAACCUGCCCUCAGCUCUGGGAUAACACCGGGAAACCGGUGCUAAUACUGGAUAUCAACUUCUGGCCGCAUGGUUGGUUGUUGAAAGUUUUUCGGCUGGGGAUGGGCCCGCGGCCUAUCAGCUUGUUGGUGGGGUAAUGGCCUACCAAGGCGACGACGGGUAGCCGGCCUGAGAGGGCGACCGGCCACACUGGGACUGAGACACGGCCCAGACUCCUACGGGAGGCAGCAGUGGGGAAUAUUGCGCAAUGGGCGGAAGCCUGACGCAGCGACGCCGCGUGAGGGAUGACGGCCUUCGGGUUGUAAACCUCUUUCAGCUCUGACGAAGCGAGAGUGACGGUAGGAGCAGAAGAAGCACCGGCCAACUACGUGCCAGCAGCCGCGGUAAUACGUAGGGUGCAAGCGUUGUCCGGAAUUAUUGGGCGUAAAGAGCUCGUAGGCGGUCUGUCGCGUCGAAUGUGAAAACCCGGGGCUCAACCCCGGGCCUGCAUUCGAUACGGGCAGACUAGAGUUCGGUAGGGGAGUCUGGAAUUCCUGGUGUAGCGGUGAAAUGCGCAGAUAUCAGGAGGAACACCGGUGGCGAAGGCGGGACUCUGGGCCGAUACUGACGCUGAGGAGCGAAAGCGUGGGGAGCAAACAGGAUUAGAUACC